GACGAACGCUGGCGGCGUGCUUAACACAUGCAAGUCGAACGGAAAGGCCUGCUUUCCCUUGUGGAUUGCGGGUACUCGAGUGGCGAACGGGUGAGUAACACGUGAGUGAUCUGCCCCCAACUUGGGUAUAAGCCUGGGAAACUGGGUCUAAUUCCCGAUAGGACUGCAGGGUGGUGCCUGUGGUGGAAAACGAUUUUCUAGUGGUUGGGGUUGAGCUCGCGGCCUAUCAGCUUGUUGGUGGGGUAAUGGCCUACCAAGGCGGCGACGGGUAGCCGGCCUGAGAAGGUGGACGGCCACAUUGGGACGGAGAUACGGCCCAGAGUCCUACGGGAGGCAGCAGGGGGGAAGAUUGCACAAUGGGCGGAAGCCUGAUGCAGCGACGCCGCGUGGGGGAUGACGGCGUUCGGGUUGUAAACUCCUUUCGACCGCGAGGAAGCCACCUGGUUGGAAGGGUGGUGACGGUAGUGGUAGAAGAAGCACCGGCUAACUACGUG
rnacentral:rRNA from 1 species